GACGUAGGGGGCUAGCGUUGUCCGGAAUCAUUGGGCGUAAAGCGCGUGUAGGCGGCCCGGUAAGUCCGCUGUGAAAGUCGGGGGCUCAACCCUCGGAUGCCGGUGGAUACUGUCGGGCUCGAGUACGGAAGAGGCGAGUGGAAUUCCUGGUGUAGCGGUGAAAUGCGCAGAUAUCAGGAGGAACACCAAUUGCGAAGGCAGCUCGCUGGGACGUUACUGACGCUGAGACGCGAAAGCGUGGGGAGCAAACAGG
rnacentral:rRNA from 1 species